rnacentral:rRNA from 1 species
AACGAACGCUGGCGGCAGGCUUAACACAUGCAAGUCGAACGCAUCCUUCGGGGUGAGUGGCAGACGGGUGAGUAACGCGUGGGAACGUGCCCUUCAGUUCGGGAUAACCCAGGGCAACUUGGGCUAAUGCCGGAUACCUGCGAGGGCAGAAAGAUUUAUCGCUGAAGGAUCGGCCCGCGUCUGAUUAGCUAGUUGGUUGGGUAAUGGCCCACCCAGGCGCCGAUCAGUAGCUGGGCUGAGAGGUUGAUCGGCCACAUUGGGACUGAGACACGGCCCAAACUCCUAAGGGAGGCAGCAGAGGGGAAGAUUGGACAAUGUGCGCAAGCCUGAUCCAGCCAUGCCGCGUGAGUGAUGAAGGCCUUAGGGUUGUAAAGCUCUUUCGUCCGGGACGAUAAUGACGGUACCGGAAGAAGAGGCCCCGGCUAACUUCGUGCCAGCAGCCGCAGUAA